rnacentral:rRNA from 1 species
GACGAACGCUGGCGGCGCGCCUAACACAUGCAAGUCGAACGAGCGAGAGAGAGCUUGCUUUCUCGAGCGAGUGGCGAACGGGUGAGUAACGCGUGAGGAACCUGCCUCAAAGAGGGGGACAACAGUUGGAAACGACUGCUAAUACCGCAUAAGCCCACGGUGCCGCAUGGCACAGAGGGAAAAGGAGCAAUCCGCUUUGAGAUGGCCUCGCGUCCGAUUAGCUAGUUGGUGAGGUAACGGCCCACCAAGGCGACGAUCGGUAGCCGGACUGAGAGGUUGAACGGCCACAUUGGGACUGAGACACGGCCCAGACUCCUACGGGAGGCAGCAGUGGGGAAUAUUGCACAAUGGGGGAAACCCUGAUGCAGCGACGCCGCGUGGAGGAAGAAGGUCUUCGGAUUGUAAACUCCUGUUGUUGAGGAAGAUAAUGACGGUACUCAACAAGGAAGUGACGGCUAACUACGUGCCAGCAGCCGCGGUAAAACGUAGGUCACAAGCGUUGUCCGGAAUUACUGGGUGUAAAGGGAGCGCAGGCGGGAAGACAAGUUGGAAGUGAAAUCCAUGGGCUCAACCCAUGAACUGCUUUCAAAACUGUUUUUCUUGAGUAGUGCAGAGGUAGGCGGAAUUCCCGGUGUAGCGGUGGAAUGCGUAGAUAUCGGGAGGAACACCAGUGGCGAAGGCGGCCUACUGGGCACCAACUGACGCUGAGGCUCGAAAGUGUGGGUAGCAAACAGGAUUAGAUACCCUGGUAGUCCACACUGUAAACGAUGAUUACUAGGUGUUGGAGGAUUGACCCCUUCAGUGCCGCAGUUAACACAAUAAGUAAUCCACCUGGGGAGUACGACCGCAAGGUUGAAACUCAAAGGAAUUGACGGGGGCCCGCACAAGCAGUGGAGUAUGUGGUUUAAUUCGACGCAACGCGAAGAACCUUACCAAGUCUUGACAUCCUGCGACGGACAUAGAAAUAUGUUUUUCCUUCGGGACGCAGAGACAGGUGGUGCAUGGUUGUCGUCAGCUCGUGUCGUGAGAUGUUGGGUUAAGUCCCGCAACGAGCGCAACCCUUAUGGUCAGUUACUACGCAAGAGGACUCUGGCCAGACUGCCGUUGACAAAACGGAGGAAGGUGGGGAUGACGUCAAAUCAUCAUGCCCUUUAUGACUUGGGCUACACACGUACUACAAUGGCGUUAAACAAAGAGAAGCAAGACCGCGAGGUGGAGCAAAACUCAGAAACAAACGUCCCAGUUCGGACUGCAGGCUGCAACUCGCCUGCACGAAGUCGGAAUUGCUAGUAAUCGCAGAUCAGCAUGCUGCGGUGAAUACGUUCCCGGGCCU